GUCCACUUUGGCAGCACAUAUACUAAAAUUGGAAUAAUAGAGAGAAGACUAGCAAUGGUACCUGAACGAGGAUGACAUUAAAAUCAUUUGUGAAACGUUUUGUAUUCGU